rnacentral:rRNA from 1 species
GCGGAGGAAAAGAAACCAACAGGGAUUGCCUCAGUAACGGCGAGUGAAGCGGCAAAAGCUCAAAUUUGAAAUCCCCCGGGAAUUGUAAUUUGAAGAGAUUUGGGUCCGGCCGGCGGGGGUUAAGUCCACUGGAAAGUGGCGCCACAGAGGGUGACAGCCCCGUGAACCCCUUCAACGCCUUCAUCCCAGAUCUCCAAGAGUCGAGUUGUUUGGGAAUGCAGCUCUAAGUGGGUGGUAAAUUCCAUCUAAAGCUAAAUACCGGCGAGAGACCGAUAGCGAACAAGUACAGUGAUGGAAAGAUGAAAAGCACUUUGAAAAGAGAGUGAAAAAGUACGUGAAAUUGUUGAAAGGGAAGGGCUUGCAAGCAGACACUUAACUGGGCCAGCAUCGGGGCGGCGGGAAACAAAAACCACCGGGGAAUGUACCUUUCGAGGAUUAUAACCCCGGUC